CUGGCUUGGAACGGAGAGUUGUUCAGCUGUCUGAGAUUGAAAGUAACAACUGGAACUUCUGGUCACCAAGGAAACCGCUAAGAAACAAGACAUUCAGCAAGUGUGGAUCAAACAAACCCAGGAUGAAAAUAUAGCUCCAUCCCUACCAGCUUCAAGAUUCUGGAGAAGAUGCUUAACCCCUGCGGGCUUCAGGAUCCUGGACGGGUCAGAAAACGACGAGACUCCUACUGAAGACAGAUGGCCAGUCGACAAAACCAUGUAAGAAGACAACCAUGGAAAGCCACCCGAUUUCAAUAUUCCUGAUUGCUAUAGUCAAAGGGUUGUUUUACACAAAAGGCCAGCAAUUUUCAGUUAUUAGGAGCCAGUGACUUUCUCGGCUCCUAAAACAAGAUUAAAGUUAUAUGUACCAUUCUGUUUCUCACACCUUGCUCUGGUUAGUUUUUUUUUUUUUUUUUCAAG